UCAACAUAAUAACGGUGACAUCAUUUCUUUUUACAUCAUAUUGUUGUAGAUUGAUUGAAAC
rnacentral:sRNA from 1 species